CAGCUCGUGUCGUGAGAUGUUGGGUUAAGUCCCGCAACGAGCGCAACCCUCGACCUUAGUUGCCAGCAUUCAGUUGGGCACUCUAAGGUGACUGCCGGCUAAAAGUCGGAGGAAGGUGGGGAUGACGUCAAAUCAUCAUGCCCCUUAUGACCUGGGCUACACACGUGCUACAAUGGGCGGUACAAAGGGUCGCGAACCCGCGAGGGGGAGCCAAUCCCAAAAAGCCGCUCUCAGUUCGGAUUGCAGGCUGCAACUCGCCUGCAUGAAGCCGGAAUCGCUAGUAAUCGCGGAUCAGCAUGCCGCGGUGAAUACGUUCCCGGGCCUU
rnacentral:rRNA from 1 species